UCCUAGCCCCUUCUGCCACACGAGGACACAGUGAGAAGUUGGCAGUCUGCAACUGGGAAGAGGGCCUUCAGCAGAGCCCAACCAUGCUGGCACCCGAUCUUGGACUUCCAGCCUCCAGACCUGUCUGUCUGGCAGGAUUAGAGGCAGGGUUUUGAGCAGUGAGGCUGGAAUGGUGGACAAGGGCCAGAUGACCAGGGUCACUGAGAGCCCUGCUAAAAGUGGACUGUAUUUGGGAGGUUUUCCCUUUCCAACUGUGCUGUCAGACCACCUACAUCAGAAUCCCUUGUGGGUAUGUGGUGAAAAUGAAGAUUCCUGAGCUCCACCCAGACUUUCUAAACCAGAAUCCCGGGAGUGGCUCAGAAGUUUGCCUUUUUCUGCAAGCACCCCAGGGGAUUCUUGUGCAAGCUCUUGAGAGCUACUAGAUAACGUGGAGCCUGGAGGGUGCAUCUUCUUCCCUGGAAAUUUCCACCUCCAGGUGAGCGAGGAAAGUACAGGCACUGGCAGAGGCUGACUUGACCCGCACUUUCUCCACCCAGAUGGCUUUGUCUCUGCAGCUGAUCAAGGUCAUCUGUGGACAACACAUUUCCCAGUGAAGGCCACUUUGCCUAAUGCUCAGCUCACUGCUGAGACGUCUGCACAAGGCAUGGAGCAACAGAGAUCGGUGUUCUCAAACUACUUCUAUAUAAUGAUUUGAUACAGAAAUCUAGACUAAAUCUAGACUAAAGGAUAUUUUUUGCUGGUCCUAAAAAAUAUUAAUCAAGCAAAACACUUUCCUGAGGACAUUUCCUGAGGAUGUGUGAGCUCAUACUUAAAUUUGGAAAUGGUGUCUUCUGAGGAAUUUCAAGAGACUCAGUUUCUUAUUUUUC